rnacentral:tRNA from 1 species
GGCGAGAGAGCUCAGUUGGCUAGAGCACACGGUUCAUACCCGUGGUGUCGAGGGUUCGAAUCCCCCUCUCGCUA